AGACCCGAAACCCGGUGAUCUAGCCAUGGGCAGGUUGAAGGUUGGGUAACACUAACUGGAGGACCGAACCGACUAAUGUUGAAAAAUUAGCGGAUGACUUGUGGCUGGGGGUGAAAGGCCAAUCAAACCGGGAGAUAGCUGGUUCUCCCCGAAAGCUAUUUAGGUAGCGCCUCGUGAAUUCAUCUCCGGGGGUAGAGCACUGUUUCGGCAAGGGGGUCAUCCCGACUUACCAACCCGAUGCAAACUGCGAAUACCGGAGAAUGUUAUCACGGGAGACACACGGCGGGUGCUAACGUCCGUCGUGAAGAGGGAAACAACCCAGACCGCCAGCUAAGGUCCCAAAGUCAUGGUUAAGUGGGAAACGAUGUGGGAAGGCCCAGACAGCCAGGAUGUUGGCUUAGAAGCAGCCAUCAUUUAAAGAAAGCGUAAUAGCUCACUGGUCGAGUCGGCCUGCGCGGAAGAUGUAACGGGGCUAAACCAUGCACCGAAGCUGCGGCAGCGACACUGUGUGUUGUUGGGUAGGGGAGCGUUCUGUAAGCCUGUGAAGGUGUGCUGUGAGGCAUGCU
rnacentral:rRNA from 1 species